UGGUUGGUAAUGUCAGGUCCCUUCUCGGUCAGUCUCCUGGAAGCAUCCUUGCUGGAGGAAGCAUCAGGCUCAGGCAGCACGCUAUCAAGGAGACCUGCACACUCUGAAGACGGUCCAAAGCUCACAACCAUCUUCAUAAUGUUCACCACCGAGUCGGCUAGAGGAUGAGGCCAUGUCCUUCCUGGGACUUUUUCUCUCUGUCCUCUUUAAAGAGGGCGAGAUGUCUCCCCCACAUGUUCCCAUUGCUGUGAUGUUCUGCCCGAAUGCAUGGAGCCAAGCAACGAGGGACCGAGGCCCCUGAAACUGUGAGUCAGGAUGAAUCUUCUUGUAUGUGGUUUCUGUCCAGCGUUUGCUUACGAAGGUGCAAAAGCUAUAAAGUUGGCGUCCCCUGAAGUCCUGGCUGUUGGCAUGUGCACAUGUGUUCUACAAUGAGCUCUUCCAGGGAACAGCACAAGCCAUUGGUUUUCUUGUCUCUUGCAAUAGUCAUUAUGGAAGUGAGCUCGGGGGCAUAUGGUAAGUGGCUGGACACUUGAGGGUACU